UUAGUAAGUGCUUUUACCUUGUUAACAUGAGCCAUGAGAUCAUCUCCUUCUUCCAUCUUUAUUGUCAAGAACUUCUUCCUAGUCCAGAGGAUGUUGGCAAGGUUUCUACUCUCAUAGAUGUUGCAAAGAAUCUUCCAUGCUUUCGUUGGUCCAUUACAAGCUAUAACAUGUGAAAAGUUGGCAUCAUCAAGGUUUGUUGCAAUCAUCCCAAAAACCUUCCUUUCACGACGUUUGUACUCCUUCUUCACGUUGAUAAUAACAUUGUCACUUGGAGGAUCUUCACUUUCAUUAACAAUAUUCCAAAGGUCCAAUGAAGCCAACAAAAGUUCCAUUUUCUUCUUCCAAUGGUAAAAUUUGUCACCUCUAAACUUUUCAAUCACUCUCAAGCUCUCACCUUUACUUGAAGCCAUAUCUAAGAAAGGGAUGUGUGAAAGAAAAUCAAGAAAAGAAAAGAUAGAACUCUCAAAAUCAAUAAGGUGUUGUUGCCUUAGAAACCCAGAAUGCCUUCUUUAUAAUUAUACAAGUGAUUUCACUCUUGUAUCACUCUCAACUUCACAUAUAAGACUUCUCACAAGUUUUAUACUCUAUCUAAACCUCUUAUAUAAGCUUUUCCACUCUUCAAUGACCCCUCUAACCACACAAAAUACUUCUUAUAAUAAUAGGAGAAUCUCUUAUGAAGUUAAAUAUAUGAAAGCACAAAUUUAGAGCACCAAUGAUGAAACUCAACAUAUAAAUACAAUACUCAAGUUCUAAAACAUCAUUAAAUAGAGUCUAACAAAAACUAAGACUAUCAAUGCACUUAACAAAAAGUAAGAGCAAAAACUACAUCAACAACUAGAUGCAUAAGAAGGGUUAGAAGAGAGCAAACUCAAACUUCAGUAACAACCAUAAGAUCUAUUCCUCACAACAAGAAAGACUUCAAAGUACUUCAACAUUCACAAGUAAAGGUGAGUGGGUCCAUAACUUAUUGAAGAACAAUCACUUUGAAGACACAAUACUUAGCAUUAGCAAGGUUGCAUACAAAGAGAGUAUGGAAUAAGAUGUCUCUCACUUCCAAUAUCCAUUACUUAUAGAUAGUGGUUGCUAUCCUAAAAGACAACUUCCACUCUUUGACUUUUAUACAUGUGGUCCUAGGAUCCUUUUGGCAUCUCACGAGCCUUGAGGGUAUCCUAUGACACAUACUAAUGACUCAUACUUAGUCUUUGGAUAUUCCCUUGUUAAUACUUUAUCCUUUUGACUUUGACUCUUAGUCCAUGACUUCGUCUUAUAUCCAUUGGAUGCCCUUACCAUAUACCAAGAGUCAAAACUUUGACCACUAGCAACUUACUUAAGUUAAUAUCCUCUAUAAGGUAAUUUAUUCUAUUUUUAUUUUAAUAGAAAUAAGACUAAUGACUAAAAAAGCAUUAACAAGAACUAUGUAAUGAUGUCCUGUAGGAUCUAUAUAGACAAUGACUUAAAAAAAAUUGACAAGAAAGCUUCAUUCUUACUUCCAUAUAUAUUAUCAAUAAAGAACUAUAUGAUGAUGUCUUAUAGGACCUCCAACAUGUGUCUAAUUUGCAAGUUACAUGACUUAACUUGCAAAGCAAUUUUUUCAUAUGUACACUAUAUUUUUAGCUUAUACUACAAGCUAUCUAUAUAUAUAAAAUAUGGCUGAUUUGUUGGCUAAGUUUCUAACCUAUUAAUCAACUAUAAACAUAUAUAAAGUCAAAUAUGCAUCUAUGAAGCCUCUAAGAAGUUUUGCCAUAAAAUAAUAUUAAAUCUAUGUACAUUUAUUUUCUACUUAGCACUUCUUAUUUAGGUAUAUAUGUAUAUUUGACAUUAUCGUCCUUUCUAGGAACAAGCUCCACAAGGAGCAGUUAUCAUAUAUUAAAGAAGUGCAAGAUGCAGCAAAUUAUAUUUUUCACAUUAUUUGAUCUUUGUUUCUUUUAAAGGUGGUUGAUAGGUCAUUUUAGCCAUUAAUAAUAUUCCAUUCUAAGGUAAAAAGAUAAAACUAUUAUUUGAUCAUUCUUAAGGCCUUUAUAACUUCUUUCAAAUAACUAUUCUCACUUAUUUUGGUGUCACUUUAAGUCUAAGACUUCUUCUACCUUGAACUCUUAAUUAUUAUCUAUUUUUAUAAGAAAAAGUAGCAUUUGUCUUUUUUUUGUAAUAUUUACUAUCUUAUGUGGCUCAAGAAGAGAUAUGUGGUGUACAAAAUGGAUCUUCAUAGACUUCAAUAGAUAUAAUUGAUAAACAAUUGGAUUGAUUUCUUUACAAUUAGUAAAUGAUCUAAGCCUAUAAUAAUCCAAUUUGUCACAAAGGUAGCUAGUCCUAAUAUUGCAACAAAGUAAUUAUAUCCUAUUGCUAACAUAGAAUUGAGGUUACUCUUUACAAUAGGUAUCUACAUUGGUCGUUUGUCAUUCUUGAAUAUCUUUUAGUUGUACCUUUAUUUUUGUAUGUAGCUUAGAUAAAAAAUUUGCCAAAUCUUUUGCUAUAAUAUUAUCAAUUUUUGAAAAGUCAAAAGCAUCAAAUUAUAGAUAAUUACCAUAAUUAAUAAAAAAAUAUAUUUAUUCUAUAGAAGAAUGUAUUUUUUAUUAUAAAUAAACUUUACCAAUGAUAAAAAAAAAUUUCAAUCAUUUUAUUAACAAUUGAUGGUACAUCUGAAAUUCUACUCUAAAACUUCAUUUAUAUGCUUUAUUUAUCCAUUGAUUUGAAGAUAAAAAGUCAAAGAUAGCUCUAUGCCCAUCUUUAGAAUCUUAAAAAGAGCUCUUUAAAACCUUCAUAUAAAUUAAGUUCUCUUAUCUCAUAUAAUAUCUUUGAACAAUCUUUGAUAGUGAUAGAUGUUAAAAAAAAGCUUAACUGUUUCUUUUCUAGUGAUAUAUUUUGUAUAUAGUAUAAAAUGUGCUAUUUUGAUAAAAAUAUCUAUUAUUAUGAAUAUAAAAUUAUAUGGACUUAAGUCAAAAAGAUCCAUAAUAAAAUCCUUAGAAAUAAAAGACCAUGGUUGUUUUCGAAUAAGUAAAGAUUGAAGAAGUCCAUAAGAUUAAUGAUUGUACAAAUUCUUUGAUUGUCUUUUAUAUAUGAAACCACCAAAAAUCUCUAAAUAUUAACUCUAAAGUCUUUUUGUAUCCAAAAUAUCCAAAUUUUUGAAAGUUAUGAUAAACUUAACAAAUAUGUAAUUGUGCUUUGUUUUCAGAAAUAUAUAAUCAUUUCUUGAGAUUAGAUUAUUUUAAAAUUCAAAUUUGAAAGUAUUAUAAGAUUUAAAAGAAUUAUUUUUAAUAUCAUGAACAAAAGAAUCAAAAGACAUACUCAAUGGAAUUUGCUUGAGAAAGAUUGAAUUAAUAAUCAAUAUUGAUUUUAUUGGUCAAAGAUGAAAAUAUUUUGGCUUUAAGAUAAUUAUUCUUUGUUGAUCAAAAAUUUCAUCUCCUUACUUGGAUUUAAGAUAAGAAUGUAUCACUAAUAUACAAAUUUAUUCCAAUAUUUAUCUAUAUAAUUAAAUAAAAGUAAAUAAAAAUAAAUUUAUUUCAUAAUUAUUUUUAGAAAAACUUUCUAGAAUCUUCAUAGAUGCUACUUUGACUUUACAUGUAUUUGUAGUUGAUUAGUAGAUUAGAAACUUGAUCAAUAAAUUAACCAUGUAUUAAUAGCUUGUGGAACAAGCUAACUAUGUGAUGCACAUAUAAAAAACUUGUUUUAUAAGUUAAGAUAUAUAUCUUGCAUGGUCAACAUGUUUUGGAGGUCUUAUAAAAUACUUUCAUAUAGCUUCUAGUUAAGAAUAUAUAUGGAGGCAAGAGUGAAGCCUUCUUCACUCCUGUCAAUGUUGUUCUAGUCUUUAGACUUGUUUGAAGACUUUCUAGUCUUAUUGUCUUUGACAAUAGAAAUUCUAAUUUAAUACUAUAUCACCUUUGAGUGACUUUUUAGUUCUUUUGAGUGACAUAAGAGCAUAUUAAGGAUUUUUUUUUUUAAGCUUCAUAUCCUUGAUAGUUUGACAAGAGUGCUAAUUUAUUAUUCUUAUCUUAUUUUAAAACUAAAUCAAUUAUUUUACUUCUAUUUUUGUAUUUUGAAGGUUGCAGAUUAUCUACCUUUAAAUAAACUAUUUAGUUUUUUAAUAUUAAUUUUGUUCCUUAAAGAGAGUGGAUUACCUUUUUUAUUUGAUAUUAGAAGUUGCAGAUUACCCUCUUCUAAUUUAACUUAUGUAUUUGUUAAGUUAUUUGAAACAGAAGGAAAAAUCAUAGAUGCUAUACUUUAUAGAAGCAAGAAUAGAUUUAUAACUAUUGUAAAUCUUUACAAACUUUUCAAUUUUCUUAGAAUGAAAAUUUCACAUAUCACUAGUGUGAAUUUUGGAAAUACUAAUCCUAUGCCUAUAAAAAAAUUUAAAAAUCUAUGAUAAGAAGUUGUGCAAGUUUUAUUUAAAGUUGCAUUCCUUCUAAUAUCCUAAUAGAUUUAGUCAAGUUGGAUUCAUAGGCAUACUUUUAUCAAGAAUUAUUCUUUCUUGCUUUGUAUCUUUGAUGGAAAAAAAUUCAUCACUCCUUUAUGAUUUGAAUUCAUUUCUAAAAGUAUUUACGGCUAUAUUUGGAGAAAAUAAUCAAAAAAGAGUAGCAGUGAUCAAUUUCUUAUCUUUAUAGUAAGGAUCAUGGUUAGCUAUUAUAUAUGCUAUUGAAUUCCAAAAUAUCAUUUGUAAUAUGGACUAAAAUGACAAAGUCUUUAUCAAUCAAUUUUAGUAUGGAUUAAAGAAUAAUGUCAAAGAUUUGUUAUUAACAAUACCAAAGGAAAAAUCCUUGGAAUAAUUUAUUAUUCAAGCCAUUUCAUACGACAAUCAAUUAUUUGAAAGAUGUUAAGAACAAAGACAUGGCUAAAGAAGAAUAAGUCAAACAAUAAUGGAAAUUUUUAAGCUUUUAGAAACUUAUAUAUCAAGGUCAAAACUAGUGCAAAUUGAUAUGAUAUGUUUUAAAUACCUCAUGGAAUAGAAAAAGAUUUGACAUUAUUAAGAAGAUUUGUACUUAUAUUGUGGAGAAGUUAAAUAUACUGCUCAACAUUAUUCAAAGAAGAAAUGCAAUUACAAAACAAAGAGCACAAUUAUCAAAAAAAAUAAUGUAUUCAAAAAUAAAUUUUUCUAGUUACAAUAGGAACCAUGCGGCUAAAAUCAUAUCCAAGACUUAGUAAAGUUCCUAUUCUCUCCUCAAAUCUUUUAUCUCAUUUUAUAAUAGAUGUAUAUUUAGGACCUAAAAAUCACAAAAUCUUUGUAUUAUUAGAUUAAAAGCCUCGGCUUGUUUUAUAGACGAAGGCUUUGAUAAUAAACAAGAAAUAUUUUUAAUCAAGAAAACUAAACUUAUACAUGUAGAGAUUAUAGAUGCUCAUUUGUUGUCUUCUAGAGAUGUUAUUCAUAAAAUUUUUCUUUUAAAUAUAGCAAUUAAAGAUCACAAUAGCAUAAUAAUAUAUAAUAUGAUAAAAUCUUCUUUUAAUCUGAUUAUUUUAGAAUUAUUGUAGUUAAAAAAAUAUAAUCCUCAAAUAGAUUAGAUUUCUUAUAAACAUAAUUUUUUUGAUAGUUUAAUCAAAAAUCUCCUAAUUCAAGUAGAAAUAUAUAAGUUUAAUACAUCUAAAUCCUUAUCGAUAAGUGCAAGAGCUUUCAUGUAUGUGAAAAAAGAAGGAUCAUUUUUUAUUAUAUAUGCAAUGCCUAUUUUUGAUAGUGAAAAGAUAUUAAGUAGUAUUCCUAGCUAAUAUCAAAAAAUUUAGGAUGAAUUUUUAUUAAAAAAUAUAGAUAUUCUUCUAGAGUAUUGUCCUUGUGAUUGUUCUAGUGAUCUUCAAGAAAGAACUCAACCACUAUUUGGACCAAUUUAUAGCCUAUCACAAAAAAAAUUGGCUAUAUUUAAGGAAUAAAUUGAUGAAAAUUUUGCUAAGAAUUUCAUAUGCCAUUUUAAAUCUCUAAUCAAGGCUUCUAUCUUAUUUGUGAAGAAAAAAGACAAAUCUCUAUGGAUGUCUGUGGACUAUUAAGGACUCAACAAGAUCACCAUAAAAAAUAGGUAUCAUAUAUCUUUGAUUUUAAGACUUUUUGGUCAAUUCAAUCAAGUAAAGAUCUAUAUAAAAAUAGAUCUACAAGGAACAUAUAAUUUGGUAUGUAUUACAAAAGAAGAUGAAUAGAAAAGUACAUUUCAAACCAAGUAUAGACAUUUUGAAUGUAAUGUCAUGCCUAAUUGGACUCACAAAUGUAUUAAUUACUUUUCAAUAUCUAAUGAAUGAUAUCUUUAUUGAAUUUCUUCACAACUUUGUUGUUUGUUAUUUAAAAGACAUCUUAAUUUACUCUAAAAAUAUAAAAUGAUACUAAGCUCAUGUUUGUCAACUAUUACAAAAACUUACAAAUGCAAGAUUAUAUACCAAGUUAAAAAAGUGUAUAUUUUACAUUACUCAAGUUCACUUCCUAGGAUACAUUUUUUCCAACAAAGGACUAAUGAUAGAUUUAAAGAAGGUCUAGACUAUCAUGGAUUAGAAGAUUUUAAGAAUAGUAAAAAAUGUGCAAUAUUUUUUGGGCUUUGUUAAUUACUAUUAGAUUGUUACCAAGAAUUUUUUUUAAGUUAUAGCUUUACUUACAUAUUUGACUUAUAAAAAAAAAAUUGAGUGGAAUAAAGAAGAAAAAGUAUUAUUUGAUGUAUUAAAAAUGGAAUUUAUAUCUGCAUUAAUUUUAUAUUGUGUUGACUUUUCUAAGGCAUUUUUCAUCAAAACAAAUACAUCAGAUUUUGCCUUGAAUAUAGUAUUCUCACAAAUCGGAGUAGAUGAUAAAUUCCAUCUAGUAGCUUUCUAUUCCAAAUUUUUUUUAACAAUUAAGUUUAAUUAUGAGAUCCACAACAAAGAGCUCCUCGUAAUUAUGGAUUCAUUUUAAGAAUGGCUUCAUUAUUAAGAAGGAACCUUGAGUUUAGUCAUUAUAUAAAAAAAUCACAAGAACCUCAAGUAUUUCAUGUUGGCAUGUAUUUCGAAUUAUUGUCAAGCCUGUAAGAAUAUGUCUUUAUUAAGAUUUGAUUUUAAGAUUACUUAUUGAUCCAAAAAAUAAUAAGGUUUAUUAGACGUCCUUUUUAGAUAUUCUUAUCUUAUAUCAAAAGAAAGAAAUGCAUCUUUAGAUCAACAAAUAAUGAUUUUUUUGAAGCUAGAGUAUUUCAACCUUUGAGCAAUAAAAUCAACAUUGACUAUUGAUUCAAUCUAUAUCAAAUAAAUUCAAUAAAGUAUGUCUUUUAAUCUUUUUAUUCAUGAUAUCAAGAAUAAUUCUUUUAAAUCUCAUGAUACUUCUAAGCUUGAGUUUAAAAACAACCUAUUUUUUUUUAAAAGAUAAUUAUAUAUUCCAAAAGAUAAAAUACAAUCACGUAUUCUUCAAGCUUGUCAUGACUUUCUAACAAUUGGAUAUUUUAGAUACAAUAAGACUUUAGAGCUAAUAUGAAGAGACUUUUGAUGGUAUCAUAUAUAGAAGACAAUCAAAGACUUUUUAAAAUCAUAUAAUAUUUGUUCAAGCUUCAAAAUUCCUUGCCAUCAAUAUUAUAGACUUUUUUAGCCAUUACCUAUUUUAAAACCAUCAUGGUCUUCUAUUUCUAUGGAUUUUAUCAUGGAUAUUCUAUUAUUAGAUUUAUAUGAUUUUAUAUUUAUAAUAAUAGAUUAUUUUAUUAAGAUUAUAUAUUUUAUAUCAUGUAUAAAAUCUAUCACAUGUGAAAAAAUAGCUAAGUUUUUUUUUAACAACAUCUAUUUCUAUCAUGGAUUAUUCAAAGAUAUUAUUUUACAUAGAAGGACUUAAUUUAUAUCAAAAUUUUGAAAAAUCUUUUUUUAGAUUUUAAAGGUAGAUAUAAAGCUCUCUUUAAUUUUUCAUCUUCAAAGUGAUGGACAAAAAAAAUAGGUGAAUCAAAUUUUGGAGUAGUAUUUGAGGUAUACUAUCAAUUAUUAUCAAGAUGAUUGAACAACUCUUCUACAAUUAGUUCCAAUUCCUUAUUUUUGCUUAUCACCUUAUUGACUGGCUACAUGUCUUGGAUGAAUAUCAAAUCUCUAAACUUCUUUAGCAUUAUGAAUCAUUAAUUGAAAUAUGGAACUAUAGAUUAUUCAAGUAUCUCCAUCUACAUCUUUUCCUUCAAAAGACUCAUCAACUUAGGUGGUAAGGCUUUUUGUAUAAGAAUUAGAUUAAAAUUAUAAGAUACAUGUGAAAUAAUAAAAAUAACCAUUAGUACAAGAAGCUUUAGAUAAAUACAUAUAAUCUUAUCUGAUAAAGAAACAAAAGCCUUACUAUGCUUAGAAAUUAUUUCUUAAAACCUUAUCUUUUUAGGUUCUUUUAGGAAUUCACUUCCUUCAAUCUUUAGCUUAAUUAAUGUCUCUUUUGUAAAAUUAUGUCCAAUCUUUCUUGUUUCUCUUAAUUUAGGCUUAUUUUUAACUUUCUCGAAAAAAUCUUUUGAGUCCAAUGGCAAUUGUGUUGCCAUUGGCCUCACCUUCUUUGCCGUGGUCUUAUACUUAAUAUUUAUUAUUGUCUCAACAACUACUUCUUAUAAAUCUUCCAAUUUUAUUAGAUCUUUUAUAGUAGCCCAUACCUAAUGGCUUCAAAAAUAGUGACUAUAAGCUUAAAUCAUAUUUUUUUUUCCUAUAAAUCUUACUUUUGAGACAUCUCCAAAAAUUUACAUUUCAUCUUUUUCAUCUUCAUUACUAUCUAUUGUUCUUAUUCUUUGUGUAUUUGAUAUCAUGAUAUAUCCUAUAGAUUUUCAUUUUUUCUUUAUUCUAUCAAUAAUAACUUCAUAAAAUUCAUGCUUUGAAAUUCUUAGGAUUUCACCAAUUACAAAUUCAUAUUUCUACUCAAAAUCUGCUCUUCUAAUACUUUUUUCAAAUUUAUAGUAGCUUCAAUAUCUAAUUGUAAUUUAUAAACAGGUGUAAAUCAUCAAAUUAACUCACUAGUUGUUUUAGGAUAAAAAGAUACUUUUAGAGUGCUUAGAACCACAAUAUAUGGUAAAUAGUAUAGAAAUAUUUAGACAAAUAGAGAAUUAGAGUGUUAAUUGUAGAAUUGGAGUCUUAAUGAGUCUUGGAUGCAUUUAUCUUAAUUGGUUUAGUAUUUUUUUACUUAUUAUUGAGUAUUGAGAGAUAUUUACUGAGGUCAAUAUUUAUAUUGGCCUUCUAUCUAUACAUAUUAUUUAUAAGAAAAACUAUAAAUAUUAAUUAGCAAUUAGAAGAAGCAUAAAAAAGAAUCUCAUGUCUUUUUAAUUAGUUAUAUAAAAAGUAGGAUUUAUAAUAGAUUUAAAUUUAUUUUAUUACUAUAAAAAUCAUAAAGAUAGGAAUUUAUAGCCUUAAACUGAUAUUAGUAUUAUAGAACCAUUAUAAGAAUUUUUAUAAUUUAUUUAUAAUUUAUUUAGAAUUUUUUAGAAAUUUUUGGAGCAAUUUCCAAGACUUUGAUAAAAAUGAGUUUUAUUACUUCGAGAGCCAUUAUGAAGAAAUGGAGUAAGAUUUGAAGGCCUCACAAGGUUUUUAGGCUAAUCAAAUGUUUUUAAACACCAUAAUGAAGUCAAAAAUACAAAAUUAUGGAUUUUACUAGUAAAAAAUAGGAGGACCAGCAGUUAGUGUAGUCCUUAUAAGAAGGGAGGUGUACAAGUUUUAUAUGGAUUGUAAUACCUUGAAGGUAGUUAGGAAGAUAAGAAUAAGGUCUCGUGGCCUCUCUUAGGAACAAAUAUACAGUACUUAUGAACCUUGGUGAGACUCAAACUCUUGAUCUCUUAAGCAAGUUAUCCUUGAGGUAAAACUAUUUAAUUAACUUUUUAUUUAUUCACUUAUUAUUAUCAAAACUUCAUAACUUACUCAUAGUAAUUCGGAUUUAUAUAUUUUUUAUACUAUUAAAAAGAUAAAAAAUUAUUUUAAAAAAUAUAUUUUUUAUUUUUAUUUUUUAUUUUUUAUUGGAUAAAAACUUAAUGAACAGACUACGACUAGUUUUAUAGUAUAUAAUUACUUGUAUUUUUUUUUUAUGGUCUUUUAUUAUUUUCAUCUCUUCUUUGUUUUUUUUCUAUUAAUGCUUUAUGAUAACUCCUUUUAAUAUGAUUAUGCAUUGAUAAUCUAUCUAUUAGAUCAUUCUACUCAAUAAUUUGCCGAAUAUUAUUGCCAACAUGUUUUAAAUCAUCUAUAUAAUUUAUUUUUUUUUAGUAUAGUUCAUUAAAAUUAACUACAAAGAACUAGUUUUUUUUAGAAAUUCAAGAUUUAUGCUUAAACAUUUGUCUAGACUUGCUUCCAUCCAAUAUGUUGAUACUUCUUUGCUUGAGUUUUUGAAUGCUUCUUUUGUAAACACCUUUAUCCUUCCUUUACCAAAUUUGUCUUCAAUUUUUUUCUACUCUCUUUUAAAUGUAUCAUACUAUCUUAAAAAAAAAAAAUUGCAUUGUAUAAUACCUUUGUAAAAUCUUUACAUUCUUUUCUUGAAUGAUCUACACUAUCACACCACAUGCAUCUAUAUAUUACACCUUCCAUUGGUCUUAACCUUUGUUUUGUUGAUACUCUUGAUGGUUAAUCAUUAUCUUUAAAUUUUGUAAAUUUUAUUUUCAAAUCUUUUAUCUCUUGUAUAAUUUCAUCAAUGCCCAUUUUUUCUUUCUUUGAUGUAGUUAUUUGAGAUUUAAUCAUAGAUGUAAAAUUGAUAGUAGAUAUUUUUACUUGAGAUAUUUACAAUAGUCUUUGAAUAGCUACCCUAUCUUUUUUCUUUUUACAAGCAAUCCUACUACCUCUUCUAAUUUUUUCUAAUUUAUUGUCAAUCCUUCAUCUUCUUUUUUAUUUUCAAGUAAGAUUUCCAACUUCUCUUGCAACUCUAUAUCGAUCUCUCGAAGAAAAAGCUCUAUUUUAUGUGGAUCCAAUAAUUGCCUCUCUUUCUUUGAUAAAUAAGGAUAUUACUUUUCAAACUACUUUAAUAAUUUUGUUAUUAGAAGAUCAUUCUUAGGCCUUUUAAUCCAUUCAAAAAAUGGUGUCUUUGUAACUCAAUUACUAUCUUUUAAGAAAAACUCAUCCUUCAAUACUUGAGAUAAUUUCUUCUAUAAACCUCUAAAAUAUCAUAUAAUAGAUCUCACUUGAUUUUUUAUCUCCGAUGCAGUAGCUAAUUCAAAUAAUUGAAUUGUCUCUUUUACUAGAAUAUGCUUCAAUUCUAUUUCUUUUACAUAACAACUUAAGUAUUUUGUAAUGUCUUUCUCUUCAAAUUAAUCAAUUUUAUGUACAAUUCCUUGUAAUGCUUUAUUUUCCAUACCCUCUUUAUGCUCUUUAACUUAUUGUUGUUGCAUGAAUAAGGCAAAAGCCUCAAACAUGCUUGUAGAGUUGGGAUCAAAAUACAUACCUUGUCCUCUACCUGUAGCUCCAAUCAAAGUAUUAUCCAUAGCUCCUUCUUCAACUCUCUUGCUUUCUUUCUCUAUAAUUCAAAUAAUCUAAAAAAAAUUCUAAAUACCUUCAACUUCAAGCUUAUCAUAUCAGGUUCAUCAAAUAUGUCAUAUUAUAUAAAAUCUUGCUUGAGAAUGCAUCAAACACAUGGUUGUAGAAGAUAGAAGAAAAAUUACAAUAAUAAGAUUUUAACAACUCUAAUAGAAUUUCAAAUAAAUUCUAAUUAAACCUUAAUAAUAUUAAUCAAGCUUUAAUCAAAUUUAAAAGAAAUCUUAAAGAAAUUACAAAAGAAACAUAAAGAAAUCCUAAAUAAAUAUUAAAAAAAAUUUAAAUAAAUCUUAAAUAAAUCCUAACCUUGUUCUAUUUUAAUUGUAAUUGAAAUUCUAAUGGACUUUAACUAAAUCCAAGGUCAAAUCCUAAUAAGAUCUUAAAUCCUAAAUCAAAUCCUAAAAAAAUCUUAAAUCCUAAAUUCUAAAUCUUAAAAUCCUAAAUCCUAAACCAAAUCCUAGACAAACUCUAAAUCUUAAACCAAAUCCUAACUAAAAUCUAACCAACUCAAAUCAAUCCUAAAGUAGAUUAGAACUCCAAUAUCUAUUGAUUAAACCAUUUAUCUUGCUUAAAAUUUUAUACAUUUUUUAACUUCUUAGUUAAAAAUAAGUAUAAUAAAUUUGAAGAUAAUUAUACUUACCAAAUAAAAGAAAAAUCCUAAAAUCCACUUGGAUAUUAGCCGGCCUCCUAUUCCAAUCUAAAUGUUGAACUUCUAGUCCUAAUAUCUUCUUUUUGAACUAUUGAAUUUCUUCCAAAAUUCAUUUAAUCUAUUAGAAAUUAGGUCUAGACUUUAUAUAAAAAAAAUUCACUUCAAUCCAAUUAAUAGAUUGCUAAAGAUCUUAAAAAUAGUCACUAACCUUCAAACUCCAUUUUAUGAAACCUCAACCUACAAAAACCUUCAUACUUCAAUUUAAUUAUUCAAUUGACUUCAAAAUUUUCACAUACAUUCAUAACUAACACACCAAUACUCUAUCAAAAAUUUAUCCACAUAAAUACCACAAAACUCAAGAAAUCCUCAAAUAUAUAAUUAGAGUUUUAUUUUUCAAAAACUAAAUCAAUUGAGAAUAUUAUUAACUUUGAAAAUCUCUCUAAAAUUGUAUAUUAACUCUAUUGAUAUAGAAUUAAUACUUAAGAAUCUCUUUUCAAGUUUUUUUUUUCUAAUUUUAUUCUCCAAUCUACCAAAGAGUCCUAGAAACACUAUAGGUAUGUGGUUUUAUACCUUAGGAUCUAAUUUUGAGCUAGAUUGACAACUAAUCUACUCCAAUUAUCAAUACUUAGCUUCUUGAGGUAAAUUUUGUUAAAAUCUAUUCUUAAUUAUCUCCUACAUAUGCAUAUAUUAUUUUAUUUUCUAAUUUAUUUUUUUUGCCUUAUUUAUGGUCCUACAAAGUAAGUAGAAGCCUAUUUUGUAAAAAAGCAAGAAUAGUAUCCUUUAAUUUUACCAUCUUUUUGACUAUUAUUUAUUUUCUAAGAUAAUUUUUUAUAUUAUUUUAAAAUAAGAUCUUUUAUAAUAUAAUAUUUUCUUCUCUUUUUUAUUCAUUAGUCAUAUUAUAUCAUAACAAUAUAAUACAAGAUUGAUAUAGACAUACAUUUCUUCUUCAAAGUAUCAAACAAUUCUUUGAUUACUUCACUCUACUCAAGUUUGACUUUAUAAUUCAAACAUUAUUGUAUUGUAAAUUCUUAAAGUAUGUAAAAAUUAGUUAAAAUAUAUUUUAUGUUCAUAGGUCUUAAUAUGUGUUAGAAUGGUUACUAAAUUUAUUUAUAGAGAAUAGAUAUAAGAAAUUUUAUUUUAAAUUUUAUCUAUUUUUAUUAUAGUAUUUAAAUUAUAUAAGUUUUAGAUGUUUAGUAUGGAGCUUUAAGAAAAAGUGGAAGUAUAAGGAUGAAAAUCUAAACUACUAAGAGGCUUAUGGAGAGGGAUGAAAUCAAGGCAUGGUCAGAUGAAGGCAAUAGGUAAAGAUUUUUAUACCUAUUGGUCAAAGGCUAUGCUCAAUGGACAUUCAACAGGCUGUCUGCGCCUAUAACAAGAAUUUCGACAACUUCAAAAAGGACAUUUGAGAAUCAAAAGCAAAGAUUAUAAGGUUUAGGAUUUGGACUACAAUUUGUGUACAAAGUUUAGAAGAUUUGGAAUUAGGGUGAUGAAAUUAUAGCCAUUUGAAGUUAAGGUGUUGUUUAAGACAUAUUGUUGCUAUUUUGAAGAUACAAGGAGUUUUAUGAUAGAUUUUGGAAAUCAAGAGGUGCAAUCAUAAAGAUGAUUUUAAGAUCUAUAUCUUCUAUGAAGGAAUUUUUGUAUUUGGAGUUUUUAUGAAGAAGUUAUAGAAUAUUGAAGACAAUACAUAUAAUUUAGAUGCAGUAAUUUUCAAAAAUAUAUCAGUACUUCAUGUAAAAUUUGGAUUUUUUUGGAGGGUUCCAUCGUGAGACUUGAGUUGUCAAAGUUUGGAAAGAAUUUAUUUUAAAGAUAUAUAAGUUUUUUAUGAUAUUUUUAUCACAUUUUUGGUGAUCUUUAGUACUUAAGGCUUAUGUAUUAAUGUGAUUGCGUCUAUAGGAAUAAUUUUAUAUAUAGACUUGGUGUUUCUUUUAACUAGAGGAUUGAUUGACUAUUUAGUGAUAGCUAGAAGCCCAACACUUUCUCUAUCUCAACAAUGGUGUUAUAUUGUGAUAUAAUUAUAUUAUAAAAAUAUAAUCAAAAAUAAAUUUUAAUUAAUAUCUAAUUAUUUUGGUUUAAUAAUAAUUUAAGAUAUUUAAAAAUGGCUUUUAUAAAAGCCUUUUAGUUUAUUUUCUUAUCUCAACAGCUAAUAGAUUAAGGAUUGCUUAGUAAUUUUACAUUCUAGGUUGUAGAAACUCUUUUAUUGCCUUAGAAAGUCUAUAAAUUAAUAAAAGUAGGAUAGAAGAGGUAAAUAAUUAAUAUGGUUGACACUAAAAUCAAGUUAAAGGUAGGUUUGAGCUAAAAAAUUCCUAAAAAGAUUGGAUUGAUACCAAAAAAUUGAUUAAUUAUGGGACAUGAUUGAAAUUAGACUUCUAGCUACUAAAUUGGCUAUAGAAGGCAAUAUAUAGAGGCAUUUAGAGUUCAAUGGCUAGAAUUAAAAAAACUAAUUUUAAUUUCAUUUCAAAGGCAUAGGCUUAUUUUUAUAGGAUUUGGGAUGACUAAGCAGUUAUUGUCCAAAAUCAAGGUUUGUAUUGGUGACUUUGGAUUUAUUCAAUAUAAUUAGAGCUAGCUCUUUCGGCUAGUUCAUGCAAUUCUUAUCACAUUUAAAGUUCAAAAUUUGAUAAUGCCUGGUUAAUUAGUUAUACUAAGUAUGUGUAAAUUUUUAUCUUAAUCUAAAUUUUGAUUAGAUUUCUAAUUUUUGAUAUAAGAGGGUUUCAAAAGUUAGCAGUUUAGAGUUGGAUAGGAUUUCUAUAAUAUCUAAAAAUAUACUUAUUAAAAUAAGGUAAAAUUUAGCAUGGUCUUAGAAUACUUAAAGAUCAAAUUAUGUACCAAUUUUAAGCUAAAGUUAAAAGUUAAAGAAAAAAAUUACUACUAAAACAUAUGCAUCAACUUUUGAAUUGACAACCAAAUGAUAUUUAUAUAGUUUUUUGGAUGUUUGCUCACAAUCUGUAAGUUUGAUUGGGCUAAAAAAUUUUAAACAUAUAAAAUACUUAUAAUAGUAUUUUUAUGCAAAAUUUUGCAUCAAAAAAACAUUUAUAUUAAUAGUUAUAACUUACUAUAGUUCACUAAGUAGGACUAAGGUUUGCAAAGAAAAAUCAAAAUUACCUAAUUAUGAAAGUAAUAAUGAAAUUGAAUUUUGUGUGUAGUUGAAGUUACUAAGAAGAGUGUUUUUGAGAACUUUGUAUUAAAUUUAAGCACUUUUGAAUUAAAAUUCAAAUUGCAUUCUUCUUAUAUGGGUGAAAUCUAUUGAUGUUUUUUAAAUAUUUGCAAAAUACAACCUCACCUUCCACAACCAAGUACCUUGUACAUUCAUAAACAAGACAAUAUAUAUUACAACAUAAGUGGUGAAUCCUAUAUGACAGUUUGAGGUAGAAGGAAUUAGAUUGUAUUUGUAGUUAUUUAUAAUUGAUGCAUAAGAAGGCAAGAAUGUUGAAUUUGGAAUUUUUGAUGGAGCUUUGGAUAGAGCUUCAAGUAGAUUUUUAAGUAGAUCUUUACGUGGAGCUUCAAGUAGAUUUGUUAUUGGUAGAUAAAGUAUAUAUUUUGAUACAAAACUAUAAAUAUGUUUUAAGCAUUUACAUUGUUUAUAUAAUAGCAACAAAGCAAUAAUCAUAAAGAAGCUUUGGCUACCAAAGCAUUGCAAGUAGUGAUUAACAAAAUUGACUAAAUUAAUGAAAGAAAUAUUUCAAAGUAUUUGAAAUAUUAUGUACAAAAAAUAGAAUUGAAUUGGAUUUCCAAAAAAAAGAUAAUUGAGCUAUUUGGACUUACUACAAUAUCAAAAAUAAGAAAACAUAUAAAAUUAAUUAUUAAAAGUAUUUUGGAGAUUCAUAGAAGACAUUUUUACUUACAUUAAAAGAAGAAUAUUUUUUAGAGGAUAUUGAUCAAGUUACCAAAAAAUCAUUUUUAAAAAGGAUUGAGUAACCUAACAAGAAUUUAUAAGCUAUGGAGCUUUUGAAGGAGUUUGAAAAAUAAUAUUUUUUAUUAUCCAAGAUGAAAAAUUAACUAUGGAGCCAAACAAGGUUGAAUUAUUUCUUUGAGCAGUUGAUUGAAGAUUGUAAGAGAAGUUGAAAAUUCUUUUUGAAACUAAAGAAAAAGAUGAAGGAUUGACAAUAAAAUACAAAGAAGUUAAAGAUGUUGUAAAAUUACUUACAAAGAGGAAAAAAAUGAUAGGAUUAGAAUUCAAAGAAUUAGACAAGUACUUAAAAUUUAGGUAUCUACUUCAUAAUUAAUAGUAUUUAUUUUUUAUUCUUUAAGGAUUACAUCAAAGAAAAAAAGACAUGGGACUUGAAGAGAUUAUACAUAAGAUGAAAGAUCUUCAAAUCAAACUUUCAAAGCUUGAAGAAAAGACUUCUACAAAAAGUUCAAAGGCUACUUCUAAGCAAGCAUAUAUACAAAGAUGUAUUUGGUGUGAUGAUGAUUCUUAUUCUCAAAAUAAUUGUGGUCAAUUCAAUAAAAUAUUACAAUAAAGUAUUAUUUUUUGAAAAGAUGAAAAGGUAGUAUUGAAAGAUAAUGGUAAUCUUCUCCAAAUCAGUUUUGAUAAGAGAAGUAUAAAAACAUUAGUUAAGGAUUAUUUGGGUAUAUAUGGGAUUCUAGUAAUGAAAGUAGCAAGUUAUGAUACUAAGGUGGAUAAUGAUAAUAAACAAGUUUUUUUAGGAAUAUUAUAUCAAGUAGAUUUUGGUCUUAUGUUAUUUUUACAAUGUAAAAAAAAAAAAAAAAAAAAAAAAAAAAAAAUACCAUAAAAAUAUUAUUAAAGAUUGCUACUACAAUUUAUAGAGCUAUAAGUUGGAAGGAUCCUAUAGAAGCUUUGUAAGUGCAUGCCUAUAUUGCUAAAAAUUAGUAUAAAGCUUUAAUAAAAGAAAAUAAAAGGUAAGAUUUUAAAGACACAAGAAGAAGAAGUACUUCCAAGAGAUAAAUUUGAGGAAACAAGGCUUGUGAGAUGGCUUCAUAAGAAUUAUUAAUAGAAGAUGAUUUUAUAAUAUUAAAGAAAAAUCAAAAGACAUUAAAAAAAAAGAUAAGUUAUUAACAUAAAAACUACUCUGUGAUAUUAAGGGAGCAAUAGAUUUAAAAGAAAUGCUUGAAGAAUGUAUGGUUAAUACCAAGAUUGAAUUUGUAUUAAAGGAGAUUUUAAAAAUUACCAAGAAAAUAUUUCAUAAUGUUAUUAUUAAUAGUAUUAAAUAAUAGUUGGAAGAAGCUAGAUUAUAGAUUAAAUCAAUAGCAUGAUUCAAUCUAGUUCUUCCCAUUAAUAGCAUAAUUAAUGAAAAGAGCUAGAUUGAAUUAUGGUAUUGAUAUACUUAUAUGUGAGGAUGAAGACAAUGAAUUUGGUAAUUGUUGCAAAUAAUCAAAAAGUGAGGAAAAGAGUCACAAUCAAAGAAUAUAUUUUUAAUAAUCAAAGUAAUAAAGAUAAAGAGAUUUUAAGUCAUUAUACUUAAAAACAUUGAGUUAGAGCAACUAUAGAGAUAUUGGUGAAGGUUGAAAAUAUAGAUGAACUAAUUGUUGCUUUGAUUGAUCAUAGUUUAGAAAAAAAAUCUAAUUUAUAAAGAUCUUUACAUGAAAUAAAGAUGGUUAAUUAAUAUAGAGAAUAGAUGGAUAAUAUGGAAAAAUAAUAAUAAAAAAGACGAGUAAUAUGGUACUUUUUUAAAUAUAAAAAUUUGAAUUGGUAAUUAUAGAAUAGAUAUUAAUUUUUUUUUGCAAGAUAUUGGUAAAAUAGAUUAAUAGUCCAUAGAAUAGUCAGUUCAAGAGGACGGAUGGUUGAUUUAGUUAUUAAAAGCGGUUUAUUACAAGAUUACGGUUAAGAUCUGGAAAUCAAUAGCAAUUAUAUAAGAGUUGUAGAAGUUUGUUGGGGUGCCAGACUAUGAUAGUCAUGAGUUGGGGUUAAGCUUGAUGCUGCCUCUUUGUUUUCUUUGUUGUUGAAGAGUAAUGGAUAGUUUUUGAAUAUUGAGAAGUGAAUCUAUGGAAUAAAUCAGAGAUUGAUUUAUGAGUUAUUGAUUAUGUAAUUGGAGUAUUAUGUGAUUGAAUUAUAAGAGAAGUUUUUGGAAGAUUGAUUAUGGAUGGAAGAUUAUGAUUGUUGUUUAUUUAGAGUUGUGUAUGUUUUGGAGAAAGGAAGUCCGUGAUUACAGAAAUUCUGUGAAUCCAGAUUGGUUGGAGUGAAGUCUGUUAUUCUUGGUGUUGGAUAGAAUUUAUGAGUUUUGAGCAGUCUUUUAAGAGUGCAAGAUUACACACUGUUGUUAUCAGUUGAUGAAGGAGUAUUGUUACUGAAAAGAAGCAUUGUAGUGUUUCUUGGUAUUUUAGUAGUUCACAAUACAGUUAAUUGUGUGACCCUAACAAGUAAAGCUCAUGCGCUUAGUCUUUCUUUGUGUUCGAAUUCCCCUAUACAGGUUUAUUCUAAAAGAAAUUUUUAGAAUAAGUAAAAUGACAAUUACAGUAAUAUUGCAAUAUAACAAAAUUUAUUUGUUUAAGAUGCAACAUCUUAUCUUCUUAUUUUGGAACAACUAUAUAUUAUUGUAACUUAGAUAGAAACAAAUAUACUUGAUGAUAAUUCAUCUUAUAUACAAAUUUUUAGUAAGAAUAGAAAAAAAAUAAUAUAAUUUUAGAUUGUGUCUCCAAAUCAUAAUCGAAAUUAAGACAAAUUAAGAAAAAAACCAUUGCCAAGGAUUGUUGAAGAAUUUAAGCAUUUUGAAGAAUAUUACUAUAAAACAAGAUUAUAGAAGUAUAAAAAAGAAAUAAUCUUGUAAGAUAUUGAUGCCUUUGAUUCAAGUUUAUUGAUAUUUUUGAAAAUAGAAUUAUUAUAUAGAAAAAUAUUGAAAAUUUAAAAAAAAGAGAAAAAAAAUAUUAUCUCCUAUUAAAAAAGAAUUGUAUGGAUUAGGAAUAUUAGAAGAUAAUGAAAAUAUUAUUGGUAUUUAUGAAAAAAAUGGAUUGAUAGAUCUUUUGGAUUUGAUUGCAUCUAUUGGAUUAUGUAAAAAUAAUAAAGUUAUAUAAAUUCAUUUGAGAGAAGUUUAUGAUAUGAUUGAAUCUUUUCAAGUACCAAAAAUUAUGGUUGAAACAAAAUAUAAGAAAAUGCAUAAAAAAGUGAAAUCAAUUACUGGACCUUUUUCAAAAGAUUCUAAAAAAUAGAUAGAAGAAGCUUCAAGAAAAAAAGAAGUUAAGAAAUUCAAAGAAUAUUAGACAUAAGUUUAGUAAAGAGACUUUUAAAGAAUUGAAGUUUUUUUUUGAUGGUUCUUUAUUGUUAGAAAAAAUUGUAUACUUCAAAGAAAUAUUGGCAAAAUGAAAUAAAUCAUUUGGUUUUGAAUCUCAUGAAAUUAGGUGUGUAGAUACAAAUAUUGUAUAGUCUAUGGUUAUUUUUAUUGUACCACAUAUAUCUUAGAAUUUGAGGCCAAUUUUAAAGCCAAGGGCAUAUUUAUUAAGCUUUUUGGAAUUAUUAAAAGAAAAGAUUAAGAUAAAAAUCUCAGAGCCCUCUUUUGUAUCAUAUUUUAGUCAAUAGUUUAUAGUGCUUAAGAAAAAUGGAUCAUUAUAAUUUAUUCAAGAUAUAUAGCCAAUAAAUACAAUGAAUUUUAGGAAUAUAAGAAUUGGAUCAAUAAUAGAUGAAUUUCCUAAAGCAUUUGUAAGAAGGAUAAUCUAUUCAAUAGAUGAUUUGUAUUUGAGCUAUGAACAAUUUCAAUCUACAAAAGAGAGUAGAAACAUGAAAACAAUGAAAAUACCACUUAAGCUUGUUAAAAUGUGUAUUCUUUCUCAACGUGCUACUAACUCAAUUAUUCAUAUGAUAAAUGGAAUAAACAAUAUAUUGAAGGAUUUUAUUGUUAAAAAGAUUAUGCUUUUUCUAGAUGAAGUUCCUAUUAAAGGAUAAAAAAAGAAGACAAGGAUGAAACUUUAGAUAAAAAAAGAUGUUCCAAUUAUAUUCUUAAUUAAAUACAAGAUUAUAAAAAAUAUUGACUUAGCUUAAAAAAGUUCAUCUUACAUUAUUGAAUAUAAAAUCUAUAUUUGGAUUAUGAAGAGUCAUAAUUAUUGGACAAUUAUGUGGAUUUUAUUGUAGAAAACUAGAUCCAACGAAGGUUGAAGUAAUGGAGAGAAUGGAAGAAGAUUAUAGUUCUUUAACAAAGGCACAUAGGUUUUUAGAUGCACAUGUAUUUUAUCAUAUUUGAAUUCCUUAGUAUGUUCAUAUAAUAGAUAUAUUAUAUGAAUCGUAUGCAAGAACUAUUGAUUUAAAUAGAAAAAAAAAAUAUUAAAGUAAUACAAAGAUUGAAGAAAUUAUUAAAAUUAUCUCCAAUUUUAAGAAAAAUUGAUUAUAAGUACAAUAGACUACUAAUUUUUAUAGUGAAUACUAAUUCAAUUGCCAUUGGAUGGGCUAUAGGUCAAGAUGAUUUGAAUGGAUACAAAUUUGUAGUUUGAUUUAGACCCAAGGUUUUAAAUAUUUAGAAACAUGUACAUUCACAAGUGAAAAGAAAAUUAUGAGGAGUUAUUUCAAUUAUGAAAGCUAAAAAAGAUUAUUUAAUUGGAGCAAUAGUAGUGAUUGAAAAAAAUUGUUUGUUUUUAUUUAGAAUGAUUAUUAAUUAUAUAAGACUAGAUAUUAAAAUGUUGAAAUAGGUUGCUUAUAUUAAUUUAUUAAAUCUGGAAUUUAGGCAUGUCGCAAGAAAAAACAAUCUAAUAGCAGAUAUAUUAUUUCAAGCAAAACAUGAUGGAGAAGAUGAGAUGAUUGAGGAUAUUGAUGAUGUGGAUACAAAAUUUUAUUUGAUAUUGUAAUUAAACAAGGAAGAUAAGUCAUUUCAUGAAAAGAAUUAUGAAGGAGAACGUAGAAGGGAUAGAAAUUUGUUUUUGUAAGAUAUUGGUAAAGUAGAUUAAUCAUUCCUAGGAUAGUCAAUUCAAUAGGAUGGGUGAUUGAAUUAGUUGUGAAAAAUAAUUAAGUACGGAAUGACAGUUAAAAUCUGGAAUUUCAGAAGUAAAGCAUAAAUAAGUUGAAGAAGAUAUUGUAAGGGCCAGACUGUGAUAGUCAUGAACCAAGGUAAGCUUGGUGCUACCUCUUUGUUUUUUUGUUAUUGAAGAGUAAUGGAUAGUUUUUGAAUAAUGAGAAGUGAAUCUGUGAAAUAAAUUAGAAAUUGAUUUAUAAAUUAUUGAUUAUGUAAUUGGAGUAUUAUGUGAUUGAAUUAUAUGAGAAGUUAUUAAAAGAUUGAUUAUGGAUGAAAGAUUAUGAUUGUUGUUUAUUGAGAGUUGUAGGUAUUUUGGAGAAAAGAAGUCCAUGAUUACAGAAAUUCUAUGAAUCUAGAUUGGUUGGAGUGAAGUCUGUUAUUCUUGGUGUUAAAUGGAAUUUAUGAAUUUUGAGUAGUCUUUUAAGAGUACAAGGUUGCACACUAUUGUUAUCAGUUGAUGAAGGAGUAUUGUUACUAGAAGGAAGCAUUGUAGUAUUUCUUAGUAUUUUAGUGGUUUGGAAUACAGUUGAUUGUGUGAUCCUAACAAGUAAAGCUCAUGCACUUAGUCUUUCCUUGUGUUUGAAUCUUCCUCCAUGGAUUUAUUUUGAAAAGAAUUUAUAGAAUAAGUAAAACGACAAUCACAUUUUGGCAUCACUGCCAAGGAAUGACAAUAGUAUUGAGUAUUGGAAAUUAAUGACUGAACAAGUAGUUUUGGAUGUUACGCAAAGAGGUUAUAAAAUUAAAAUUAGUUCAAAAGUGAAGAGAAUUAUGUAGUCAGAUGGGACAUAGGAAGCAAAUUCAGCAGUAUAUAAUGAAAGUUUAUGGUUAUUAAGAAUGAAAAUAUUGCAGUAAAGAAAAAAUGCUCGUCAAAAGAAAGACAAGGGAGAGUAUAAGUAAGAGAAUUGUUGUAAAAUGAGCAAGAAUGCAAGUUAAAAAAGAAACAUCAAUAAAGUUGAAUUAAGCCAUGAUUGUAUGUCUGUUGGCAUAUUCGAGCAUAUCCAGAAGCUGACCGACCUCUAAUAUUUCAGACAUAUAUACCGUUAGAAAAAUUGUCAAAAAUACUUAUAGAAAAUUUUAUUAAUAGUCCAGUAUAUCUCUUAACUUGUUAAUUGCAAGUAGAGGAAACACAAAAGAAUUAGGUACUCCAUUGGAUACCUUCCUAAUAGUGGAAACUGUCAAUUUUGUCAAAACUGGUCUUGUAGAAUGGCAUAAAUUACUUGCCAAUAAGGGCCAAUUCAGCGUAUUUCAAAAUCCAUCAUUUUUACCUCCAAUUCAAUUAAUAAACUUAUUCAGGGAUAAUAAUAGUAAAUUAAAGAGGCUCAAAAGUUCGGAAAAGAUAAUUGGAAAAAACACUAGUAAUUUUAAUAAGAAAUUAAGUGGCACAUUGUCCUUUUCAAUGACGACAAGUUAUCUAGUAGUUCCAAUAGUAGUCAAAAUAGGUGACAUGGGCGAUUGCAUAACUAGCGUGGCUCUAUUACCUAUUUUUAGGGACUUACCAAGUAUAGAUCUAGAUCAAUACUUCUAUCAAUUUUUGACCGCAUGUAUAGCCAAUAAUGGUAGAAUUGAAGAUAUUUGAUUGUGAUGGAUGCCAAUGACCUUAAAAGAUACGAUGUUUGAAUGGUAUAACUGCCUAACCAUGGAUCAAUUUUCUCAUUGGAAAGUAUUGAAGAAUGUAUUUUUAAUCCAUUUUCGUCCAAUUUAUUUUGAUGAUUGACUUUGAGAAAGAUUAAUGAAUAGCAAAAUGAGUCUUGGAGAGAUAGUAGAAUCGUAUUAUGGCCGUGUGGCAGAUAUACUCUACAAGUGGUCAAAUUAUUAAAUACCAAAGGCUUUUGUAUUAUCCAUAUUAAUUAACGGAUUACACCCACCUAAAUUAAAAAUGUUUGUAAAAGCGGCUCAACCAAAUACGGUAACUACAUCUCUUAAUUGAGCCAAGGUUUAGGAAGAAUGUCAUUAUGACAAUUUUUAAUUAUAGAAGCUACUAUGAUUUCAAUUCAAGGAGGUUAUCAAAUCCCGACAUAGAAUUUAGCACUAGUUAGUUAUCCUAGAAUGUUUGAUAUAAGGGCCAAUUCAAGUGCCAAUUCAUAGGGAAUAGUUAAUGUCACCCCAUUGCAAGCUAUACCACCAAGUAUGGCAACAUUGCAGUCCCCAUACUUCUCUUAUCAGCAGCAACCAUUGAUUAUGGCAGAGUUGCCAAUAGUAUCAGCUCCGAAGGAUUCUAAUGAAACCUUGCUGUUAAAUUUUACUAAAAAAAUAGAAGAAAUGGCAGUUAAUAUGGCAAAGGAUAAAGAAAAGAGAAAAAAACCUACUAAUAUUAGGUCCAAUAUAUGGUGCAGUAAUUGUAAGGGCCAAGGUCAUUUGGUGACAGAAUACCCCUCUCCUCCAUAAAUGAUGGUGCAAUGUACAUUCUAUAGAGGAAAGCAUUUGGCAGCUAAUUGUUGGAAUUGAAAAAAGCAACAAUAAUUUAGUAAUCAAAUCAUGAUCCCAUCCACUCAAUGGGAUUUCAAUCAAGUUCAAACAGAAAAUACAUUUGGCUAGAAUGGGACUCGUUUAAAUAGGCAAAAUCAAAUCUUUAAUAACUUUCAAGGUCCAUAUUAUAAUUUAGGUUCUCUAUCAAACUGUCAUAAUUAUAUGAAAGAACAAGAAAGAUAUCAGUAAUAUUUUUCAUCAUCGCAAUUGAUUCUAAUUUCUUCCUUAUCAACAUUACAACCGGGAUCAUUUAUCAAUUCAACUUGGAAUAGGUCUAACUGGUAUAUACCAGUGGAGACAUGUAAUAAGCUAGAUGGAGGUAGAAGAAGACCACUUUGUUGUUACCAUUGCAGAUAGAUUGAUCAAUACUCUAGUGAAUGUCCUAAUCAAAGAGCCAGUGAUGACUAUGCUCUAGUUUGUAGAAAUUGUAAGUAGUCGGAGUAUACAUUUCAAUAGUGUAAUGCUCCAUUCAAUUUCAACAACCAUUGUUGUGUUGUAACAUGACUAUAUGGUGAAAGGUGAUAAUAUGGAUCUUAUUAUAGAAGAACCAAGUUAAAAGAUAAAAUAAAAAAAUAUGAAUAAAAGAUAGGAAGAUAAUAAAACUUUUAGUAGUAGUACUACUUUUUUACAAAAGUAACUUCUAUUUACUUUAUAGGGCCAUAAAUAAGGUAAAAUAAGAUAGAUUUGAAAAAUAAAUAAUAUAAGUAUCUUUAGAAAGAAGUUAAAAGUAAAUUCUAGCAAAAAUUACAUUGAAAAACUAGAUAUUGAUAUCCAAAGAGGGCCAGUUAGCAACUUGGAUCGAAAUCAAAUCCUAAGGCAUAAAAUUGAACACCUAUGGUAACUUAGGGGUACUUUUGCAGAUUGAAGAAUGGAGUUUGAUAGCAAAUUAGAUAAGGUUUUUAUGAGCAUUGGUUUUAGGCAAUUUGGAUUUUUUAGGACUUUGUAAGAGCUUUACAAAGUCAAGUUUAUUUUUGGAUAACUUGGAUUUUGUGAAAUAAAUUAGAGUUGACAUUUCUAGUGAUUUCAAGAAUUUUGUACCAGAUUUAUAAGUAAAAUUUUGUGGGUAAAUAGUCAUAGUUGUGCUCCUUCAUAGAUUUGAAUUUAGCUAUUUGUGAUCAUUAUUGUAAAGAUAAGAGCUUGAUCUUUGCUAUUCUUUUUUAAUUAUUUUCUCCAAUUGUGGCCAUAAAUACUUCUAAAAAUGAAUUCAAAUCAUAAAGGAGCCAUGAAUCAUUUUCUACCAUAGAUACAAACUAAGAAAGAAUACUUUUAAAUAGAAAUGUAUCCAUGAGUCUAACUUAAGUAAAUCUAUGAAGAUAUUGAAAAAGAUGCAAGCUUAGAUAAACCAUAAUUUAUUAUAAAAAAAUUUAAAUUUUGAUCGUGUUCCAUUAAACUUUUCAAGCAUAUUAAUCAUUACCUUUCUUGUGCUUAUAGAAGCAAGACUUUCUGAAUUUGGUUGUAAGUUUAAUCUUCUUGCUUCUUUCAAUUGCACAAUUUUUUAGUAUAGACUCUGUACUUUCUUUAUAGGUAUAAAAAUAAUACUUCUAUGGUUGCUGUUGAUAUUAUAUAAAAUUUCUAUUUUAAAAGUAUUAAUAAUUCAUCAAGAUCUAAGAUAAUUACAAAUCUAUUUUCACUUUUUUCAAGUGUAGUAUCUAUAAUUUUUUUUUAUUUCAAAUAACUUAAUAUAUAUAUAACUUAAAUUAAAAUAGGAUAAUCUAUAAUUUCUAAUAUUAAAUAAAUAUUUUUACAAAAAAACAUAAUUCACUAUCUUUAAAGAAAAAAUCAAUGUUGGAAAAAUAAAUGUUAGUUCAAGGUGGAUAGUUUGCAACCUUGAAAAUAUAACAAUAGAAGUAAAAUAAUUUAUUUACUUCUAAAACUAUAGCAAAGAUAAUAAAUUAGAAUUCUUUCAUUCUAUCAAAGACAAGAAUUCAAAAAAAACAUAUAAAUAAGUAAAAAAUAAAUUAAAAAGAGAUAAAAAAUUAGAAAUAAAAAAAUAAAUACAUUUAAUAAAUAAAUAGAAUGAAUAUUACCAAAGACUAAAAAAUUAGAAUUUUUUGAAAUUAGACUAAAAAUAAGAAAGGAAUUGACAAGAGUGAAGAAGGCUUCAUUUUUGCGUCUAUAUGUACUAUCUAUCUAAGAAUUAUAUGGCAAUAUUCUAUAAGACCUCUAACACAUGUUCAAUUUGCAAGACAUAUGUUUUAACUUACAAAGAAAGUUUCUUAUAUGUACACUAUAUUGUAAGCUUGUACUAUAAGCUAUUAAUACGUUGUCGUGAUGUAACACGACUAAUAGAUAAAAAAAAGUGAAGAAAUUAUUAUAUUAUAGAAGAUCUUACUUCAAAUAUUAUAGAAAUUAUCUUAGAAAAUAGAAAAUAGUCAAAAAAAAUAAAACUAAAGGCGUAAAUACUAUCUUUUAUAAAAUAGGCUUCUAUUUACUUUGUAAUGCUAUAAAUAAGGCAAAAUAAGAUAGAUUAGAAAAAUAAAGGAUAUGAGUAUAUGUAAAAAGAAAUUAAGAUUUAAUUUUAACAAAAAUUAAUUCAAAAAAUUAAAAUUUGACAUUCAAAGAAGACCAGUUAUCAACUUGGAUCAAAAUCAGAGCCUAAGGCACAAAAUUGAGUACCUAAAACAACUCUAAGGUUCUUUUGUACAUCAGAGAGAAGUUUUAAAAAUAAACUUAAUAGAGCUUUUUAAAGCAUUAAUUUUGAGUGAUUUUAGUAUAUAAUGACUUUGUAAGAGCUUUACAAAUUCAUAAUUCUUUUGGAUGAUUCUUUAAUUUGUAAAAUAAAAAAGAUAUUAUGUUUUAAAAAUAUUGCUUGAAUUUGGUAGUAGAUCUAUAAUUCAAAUAUGAAAGACUUAUGAAAAUAGCUAUCUUAAGUAUAUGCUAUAAGUUUGAGCUUGAUUAAAUGAUUAAUUUGAAGGUCAUUGAAUUUCAAGUAGGUAGAGGUCUUACAAAUUGGCCUUUGAAGGGCAAUUAGGAUUUUUAAGAUUUUAAAUAAUUUAUUAGUUAAAUAAAAGUGAAAUUUAUAUAUAAAAAUAAUAUAAUUAAUUUCCUAUAUUUAUGUGUUUUUUUAAAACAACUAAAUAGUAUAAGAAAGAGAUAUUGGUACUAAAAGACCAACAUCAAGAUUGAAGAAUGAGGCCAUCUAACACUUGCAGAUUUUGAUAUUUUUCUUCUAUUUUGUAAAAUCGAUUCUCUCCAAAUUUUGUGUAAUUAUUUUCAACUUAAUUGUUGAAAAAUUUGUAAAAUUUUAAGCAAGAUCAUUGGUUUAAUGAAUAGAUAUUGAGAUUCUAAACUAUUCUAAGAUUUGCUUGAAUUGGUUAAGGUUUGAUUUAGAAUUAGGAUUUAGGAUUUGAUUAGGAUUUGGUUAAGAUUUAAGAUUCAAUAAGGAUUUAGAAUUUGAUUUAAGGUUUAGGUAGAAUUUUCUUAGAAUUUAGGAUUUGAUUUAGGAUUUAAGAUUUAAAGUUUGCUUAGAAUUUAAGGUUUAAGAUUUGCUUAGGAUUUAGGAUUUUGGAUUUGCUUAAGAUUUAGGAUUUGGCCUAGGAUUUGAUCGUAGUCCAUUAGAAUUUCAACUAGGAUUAAAUUAAGAAUUUUUUAAGAUUUAUAUAAGAUAUAUUUUUAAUUAUUCUAAUAUUUCUUUAUGAUUUCUCAAAGAUUCUUUUAAGAUUUAUUGUGGAUUUCUUAUGAAUUCUUUUAAGAUUUUUUAUUAUUUCUUUUAUAAUUUCUUUAAGGUUUCUUUUGAAUUUGAUUAAAUCUUACUUAGGAUAGUUAAGAUUUAAUUAGAUUUAUUUAAUAUACUAUUAGAUUUAGAAUUAAGUUGUUGUAAUUUCAAUCUAUCUUCUACAAUCAAGUGUCUAGUGUAUGCUUGAGCAAGCCUUCAUGUAAUUGGACAACGUGUAAUAUGUGGCUAACUUGUUGGCUAAGUUUUUGACUUAUCAAUUACUUAUAAAUGUAUAUAUAUAAAGAUAAAAUCACAUCUAUGAAGCUUCUAAGAAGUUUUUUUGUAAGAUAUUAUUAAAUUAAUCUAUUGUUAUUUAUUUCUAUUUAUUCAUAUUAUUUAGCUAACUAUAAGUUUUUCCAUGAUAAAAAACAAAGAUUUUGUGAUUUUUUGGUCCUAAACAAACUUCUAUUAUAAAAUAAGAUAAGAGAUUUGAUGACAAAAUAAGACCUUUACUAGAUAUUUUAUAAAAUUCCAACCAUAUAGUCGUUUUUGUAGUUAGAAAAACUUAUUUUUUGAUACAUAGACUUUUUUGGCAACCAUUUGCUUUAUUUUAUAAUCAUAUUGCUUCUUAGAACAAUGUUUAGCAGUGUCUUUGGAUUUUCCAAAAUAUAGAUACAAACCUUCUUUACAACGUUGUUUAUUUUCUUACUUAGUAAGAAGUUUGAAAUAUAAUGUUGUUGUAAUGUAAUAUGGAUAAUAAAUAAAAAUAUGAAAAAAAAAAUAUAUUAUAGAAGAUCUUAUUUUAAAAUAUUAUAAAAAAUUAUAUUAGAAAUAUAGAUAAUAGUCAAAAGGUAGAAAAUCUAAAAGUGCAAAUAUAGCCUUUUUACAAAAUGAACUUAAACUUAUUUUGUAGGAUCAUAAAUAAGGAAAAAUAAGGAAAAUUAGAAAAAUAAAUAAUAUAAGCAUAUGUACAAGGGAGUUAGGAGAUGAUUUCAGGAAAAAUUACCUGAAGAAAAGAAGAAUUGAUAUCUAAAAAAAAUUGGUUCCUAAUCAGGGUUGAAAUGAGACCCUAAGAUACAAAUUUGCACACCUAUGGUGACUUUGGGACUCUUUUACAAAUUAGAGAAUGGAAUUUGAAAGAAGACUUCAUAGGAUUUUUUUAAGCAUUAAUUUUAGGUAAUUUGAGUUUAUAAUAACUUUGUAAGAGCUUUGCAAAGUUAGGAUUUUUUUUAGUAAAUUUGAUUUUGAGAAAUUAAUAAAGGAUUUACAUUUGAGAGUAUUUUGUGAAUUUGAUAGUAGAUCUAUAGGUGAAAAUUUGUAGGUUUGUGUUUAUAAGUCUUUUUAUUAUAUGUUAUAAAUUUGAAUAUAAUCAAAUGGUUAGAUUGAAGGUUAUUAAAUUUUAAGUAGGUUAAAAUCUCAGAAAUGGACUUUUAAAGGUUAGUGGGGAUUUCUAAGAUCUUUAGCAAUUUGCUAGUUUGAUUGGAAUAAAAUUUAUAUUUAUAGAUAAUAGACUUAAUUUUUAAUAUAUAUGUAAAUUUUGAGAGGUAUUUAAUAGUAGAUUUAAGAGAUUUUGGCAAAGAAAGAUUAGCAUCAAGAUUAGAAAAGGCAAUUGGCCAAUAUCCGAGUAGAUUUUAAGAUUUAACUUUUAUUUGGUAUGUGCAAUCUUCUUCAAAAUUUAUGUACUUAUUGUUAGCUAAGUUUUCACAAGGUACACAAAGUUUGAAUCAAAUUCAAUGAUUUAAUCAUUAAUUAUUGAGUUUUUAAUCUAUUAUAGGAUUGUUAAGAAUUUAUUUAAGAUUUAGGAUUUGAUUAAAGAUUGGUUAGAGUUGAUUUAAGAUUGAAGGUUUAAUUAGAGUUUAGUUAGGAUUUAGAAUUUGACUAGGAUUUGAUUAGGAUUGAUUAGAUUUUAGUUAAAAUUUAAGGUUUGACUAAAUUUUGAUUAAGAUUGAUUAAGUUUUGGUUAAUAUUUAGAAUUUGACUAGGAUUUGAUUAUAGUCUAUCUAGGAUUUUUCUAAAGUUUGUUUAGGAUUUGUUUAGAAUCUAUCUAAGAUUUUUUUAAUAUUUUAUAAGAGUUUGUUUAGAAUUUAUCAAAGAUUUGUUUAAGAUUUGUCUAGAAUUUGAUUAAAAUUUAAUUAAGAUUUAUAUAGGAUUUCUUUAUAUUUUUUUAUAAUUUAUUUAAAAAUUUAAUUGAACUUGAUUGUUGUUCUUGUUGCAUUCAAGCUUUAGUAGACCAAAGCAAUUGAACUAAUAGAGGUGGGUUUGACCACGGAGAAAAACUCGUUAUAUGAAUUGGGUCUGUUAGUGUCACAAUUGACUGUACUCUGGCUAUCUGAAAUCAAUUAUCAAACUACAAAAUAUCGAAGCUUACUACUUCCAUCUUAAUUCAAUCCAUAAUCUAUUCUAUGAUUAUGAAUUCAACAAUACUUCUCUCAAUCACAAUUCUUCAUAAGCAAAUAAUAAAGAAAAUAAAGAGGUAGCACUAAGCUUAUCCUGACUUACGACUCUCAGAAUCUGGUCCUCGACUUAUGACUCUCAGUCUGGCUCUCAACUUACGACUCUCAUAGUCUGGCCUUUGGCUUACGACUCUCACAUUCUGGCCCUCAACUUACAACUCUCACAGUCUGGACCUUGGCUUACGACUCUCAUAGACUAGCCCUCGGCUUACGACUCUCAUAAUCUGAUCCUCGGCUUACGACUUUCACAGUAUGACCCUCGGCUUACGACUCUUAUAGUCUGGCUCUUGACUUAUGACUCUUAGUCUAGCUCUCGGCUUACGACUCUCACAGUUUGGCCCUUGACUUGCGACUCUCAGUCUGGCCCUCGACUUACGACUCUCAAUCUGGCUCUCGGCUUAUGACUCUCACAGUCUGGCCCUCGGCUUACCACUCUCAGUCUGGCUUUUGGCUUACCUUUCCUCAACCUAUUUAUCCUACCAAAAGAUGAUCCAUCGGCCAACGGAUUCCAAAGAUUAUGACUCUUUGAAUUCUUAACCAUUUAUUCUACUACCAACCUAUUGUUACCAGCUAAACUGCCUAGCCAUCAGUCUAAUUUUCAAGGUUGUCAAUAACCAACGAAUAACUUACCGCAAAGUUUAUUUAUCUAUUCUAUAUAGCCCCACUCCUAAUUGUGCAGCAACUUUGCAAAUAUUAUUUAGCCUCAACUUAUAAAGACGUAGCAGCGUUGGCUUUUUUAGUCGAUGACGUUGGCUUACCACCCUUUGAAUUGGUAACCUAAUCCUUUGUUACAUCUUUGUCAUCUACCUCAAUAUUUGAGGGUUCUCCAUCCAAACGCACCAUCAGAUCUUCAUUCAACAAAUCCAAUUCCCAUACCUGAGACUCACCUCAAGCAAUUUGGUUGUCAUGCUCCUCCAACAUCUUCUGCCAUUUUUCUGUCGGUUUCAAAUGUAUCUCCGAAGGUGUUGUCGUUGAAACUGGCAUAUUGGUCCAUACUAAGUUAUUGGCCUCCUUUGCUAAUACGGCUAGUUUAGUCUACAACAUUACAACCUCUACCUGCAGCCAUUCUUGCCGUUCCUUCCAAUUGGUCUCCAUCUUUAUUUUCUCAAACACCAUGUUUGCCAUCUUCUCCUUAAUCACAAAAGAAAAUACGAUGCUUGUCAAGAGCCUUCUUCCUACUUCUUACUAUGGUCCAAUCAAUUGGGUCGACUCCCCUUUUUGUAACAAAAAAUCCAUCCUCAAUUUAUGUAUAGUAAAGUUUAAGCCGAUUGCCAUUGAUUCGUGUUGUAAAUUUAGUAUCCAUAAAAUCUUCCAAUUAUACUGAAUUAUUUGGAAAUCCGUCAAUAACUCGAUAUGGCCCAUGCCAUCAAACUUGAAAUUUUUCUAAAAAAUUUUUAAAUCGACUAUCAUAAAGAAGUACCAAAUCAUUUGGCAUAAAAGCCUUUGGUCUAAGCUUACUAUAAUAAUAAGUCUUCCUUCAUUUUUGGAUAGUUUCCAUUAUCAUUAAUGCAUUGGCUCUAGUUUCAUCUAAUUUUUUUAAUUCUUCUAAACAGUGUCGUAAUGAAUCUUGAUCUCUCAAUCUAUUAUUUAUAGCAAUUCGUAAACUUUGGACUUCCAAUUUAAUAGGUAAUAUUGCUUCUUGGCCAUAAAUCAAUUGAAAAGAGAUAGCAUUCGUAGUAACUUUAUAUACAGUACGGUAUGCCCAUAAAUCUGCAAACAACUUAGUAUCCCAAUCUGUUCCCACUCCUGAAACUAUUUUUAUUAAGAUUUUACAUAAAAUUCUAUUAGUCUUUUUCAUUUAUCCAUUGGCUCUAAGAUGAUACGGUGUAGUCUUCUAAUGUUUUAUCUUGUAUUUAGCCAUGAGUGCUUCGAUUGUACUAUUUAUAAAAUGAGUUUCUCAAUCACUAACCAAUUCUCAUAGACAACCAAACUGUAUAAUAAUAUUUUCAUACAAAAAAGUUGCUACUGUACUUCCACUAUCGGUUUUUGUAGCUACGACUUCAGUCCAUUUUGUUACGUAAUCCAUUGCUACCUAUAUGUACUGUUUUUGUCCAUUUCUCGAGGUUGGUACAAUUGAUCCUACCAAAUCAAUUCCCUAUUUUUUAAAAGGCGCUUGAGCUAGAAUUGGUACCAAUGGCAUUGCUGAAGUUCAAGUAGGUCGACUUGUUCUUUGACAUGGAUCACAAUGACGGACAAAUUGGUGGGCAUCGACAAACAUUGUUGGCUACCAAUAACCAGCUUGUAAAGUUUUACAAGCCGUACUGUCCCCUACAAAAUAUCCACUACAAAUGUCCCAGUGGCAACCUACUAAUAUAGUAUGCAAUUCAGUCUAAUAAAUACAGCAUCGCAAAACUCCAUCCUUACCUUGUUUAUAUAAAGCAUCACCAAUCAUCGUAUAAGGUGCAUAUUUUAAUAUUAAGCAUCGUUUAAGCUUUUCAUUGAAAUUAGGUGGGAAGGUUUGAAAUAUCAAGUAUUAAAUUAUUUCACUAUACUUUGGAGUAAUUACAUCUAUUGCAAACAGUUCUACAUCGGAUAGUGCAUCGUUAAUGGAUUUAUUAUCCAAUAUAUUGGAUAAUUGAGAUAAAUGGUCCGCAUUGGAAUGUGAUUUUUCUGAUCUUACCUGAAUAAUAAAGUCAAAUUUCUACAAGAGUAAAAUCCAUCAUGCAAUACGACCACUCAAUUGAAGCUUAUUAAUCAUAUAUUUUAAAGCAUCAUGGUCGACAUGGAAAACAAAUUUAUAAUCAAGAAGAUAAUAUCGAAACUUUUGUACGAAAUAAAUCAUCUUCAAUGCUUCUCUUUUGGUUGUUGUAUAAUUUCUUUCAGCUGCUACCAAUUGACGACUUGCAUAAUAAAUAGGAUGAUCAAAAUCUUCUUCAUCUUUUUGGCUUAGCAUACAACCAAUCGUGAAAUUAGAUGCAUCCACAUAAACUUGGAAUGGUUUUGUCCAACAAGGUGCCACCAAUAUUGGUGUUGAAACCAAUUUUUGUUUCAAUGUUUCAAAUGCAAUUGUACAUUCCUUUGUCCAAAAUGGACUGGUCCCAUCGAUUGGUGGUUUCUUCAAGAGAUUUGUUAAGGGAAGGCAUAUAACUACGAAUAGAUAGAUAAAUCACCAAUAAUAACUGAUAUAGUCGACAAAUGCUCAAACACUCGUAACAGUAUUUGGUUGCUUUAAUUCUAGUAUAAUCUUUAUUUUAUCCAGAUCUGUAGCAAUGCCUGCCAUCAAAACUAUAUGACCCAACAAUUUACUAGAAGGCACAUCAAAUUGGCACUUUUUUGAAUUUAAAGAAAUUUCAUAUUUUACACAUUGUUUCAAACAUUGACCGAGAUAUUCUAAAUACCUGGCUAUCAUACUAAAUGUACAAAAAUCAUCUAAAAAUAUUUCCAUUGAAAUUCAUAGAUAAUCUUGGAACGCUUGCAUCAUUACCCUUUGAAAUGUAGCUAGUGCAUUACAAAGCCCAAAUGGCAUAACCUUAUAGGCAAAGGUCCCCCAAUCCAUAGUAAAAGUAGUUUUUAAUUGGUCUUCUUUUGUAAUCUUAAUGUGAUUAUAAUCGGAGAAUCCAUCAAGAAAUAAAUAACAUUCAUGUCGAGUAAUAACAUCCAAUAUACUAUCCGUGAAUGAUAAACAAAAAUAAUCCUUCUUGGUAGCCGCAUUUAAUUUUUGGAAAUCUUAACAAAUACAAAUUUUUCCAUUCUUUUUUGGCACCAUAACAAUUGGUAAAACCCAUUCAUUGAAAGGAACUGGAUAGAUAAAUCCAACCUCUAAGAGUUUAUCUAGCUCUUCUUUUACCAUAAGUGAGUAUUUUGAAUUAAGUCAAUGUUGUCUUUGGCAUACUGGUAUAGCAUUCUCCUCUAAUAUAAUUUGAUGCUCACAAACUUCAGCUAGAAUUCCUUUCAAAUUUACAUAUGACCAUGUAAAAGUAGUUUUAUGCAUUAAAAAGCAAUCCACUCAAAUUUCUUUCUCUUUGCUUUUUAUACCAUCAUAAAUCUGAAUGUUUUGCGGAGCCUCUCCUAUACCUAAAUGAAUUGGUUAACAUCAUGGAAUUUCAGGUGUCUUUGUACUAAUGUUUUGCUCAAUUUCAAAAUCUUUUAUAAAAUCUGACACAUUAGAACUUUCCAACUUCAGUUCCAUAGCACUAACAUGAUAAACAUCCUGUCUAUUUAUCCAAUAUGUAAUCAUAUGAUCAAAAUCGUCAAUAAUAUCUGGAAGAACUAAGUACUCUCCCAGUCCCCUACACUAGUAGUUCAUUCUAGUGUGCUCGACAACUUGCCUUGUAUCAACAUAAAUUGGAUCAGGUGCACCAAUUUCUUCUUCUGUAGACUCAUCUUUAUAAUCCGACGUGAAUUCUAAACUGACAACUUGAGUUUCUCCGUGAUAUUGGACAGGAUACAUUUGAAGCACAAUUUUAUCAUUAUCUUUUCCAAUUGUCAAUGUACCAUGGCUCCAGUUAUUUUGAGCUUUAGCUUGAUACAACCACAGUGGCCCCAAUAAAAUUAGGUAUGACAAUAUAGAGCUUUGCAAUAAAAAAAUAAUAUAAUCAAUUUUAUAAGUAAUCCUCGUAAUUACUAUAUCAAUACUUCAUAAAAUAUCCAUAGGUUUAAUUCGACUGGGAUCAGCUAUUCUCAAAACCACUAUAGUAGGCAAUAAAUGAUCUAAAUCCAACUCUUCCACUGUAGCGGCAUUCAUAAGAUUUACACUAGAUCCUCUGUCUACUUGCACUCUUGAUAAUAAUACUCCAUCAAUUGAGAGAUCAAUCGUUGGUGCAUCCAGAUCGGGAUUCAAACUUAUUUCUCGAAUUUCUUUAUUUUGAGAUCUGCAAUGAAUUAAUAAAGAAUUCAAGAUAGUUCAACACUCAGGUGCUACCGCCAAUAGUUGCUUCAUGGAGAUCGUAGGUUGUAUGGUGCUCAAAUCUUUUAGAAUAUCAUAUGGUUUUAUAUUAUUAAUAAUUCCUAAUAUCCAUUUCUUCUUCCCAGUUUUAGACACCGAUGAAGAUAAAUUGGUUUUCUCUAUAUUGGAAAUUCGUAAAGCUACUUGAAAUAAAUUUGACAAAGCUUUUAAAAUCAAUUCUUUUAAUGGGUAAGAUUGUUCUUUGAAUUGGACUGAUAUUGGUUCUUUAGAAUUCACGCCUCUUAAAAGAUCUUUCAAUGAAAAGGACAUUUUUCAAAACUGUGUAGAGAACGGAACAACUUGACAUGAAACUAAAGCCUUCGUAAUUAGUACCUCAUUAGGAUGCACAACCGAUUCUGGUCUUAUAUUAAGUAAAGGGCCCAUAUCAGGACCUUGAUUGGAUGUCCCCGUAAUUGGGUCCAAUUGGUCCUUCGCUUCAGGAUCACCCAAAUAUUGAAUUAAUCCUUUCAUUUUUUACUGACUUCUUACAAAGACAACUUGGAAUACUUCUACACGAUGAACUGGUGAAUCUUAAGGACCUUGAUUUAUCUCUUCCAUUUUUCCUUAGCUUUGGAUCUACUGAUCUCGAUUAUUGAAAUUGAACGGAGCAUUACAUUGCUGAUAAGUAUGUCUUGACUACUUGAAAUUCACACAUAUUUGCACAUAAUUGUCACUGGCUUUGGAAUUGGGACAUUCACUAGCAUAAUGACCAAUCUGUUUGCAAUGAAAACAACGAAGUGGUCUUCUUGCACAUCCAUCUUGCAUAUUGGGUGUCUCCACCGAUAUAUACCUACUAAGCUUGUUCCAUGUAGGGAUAAAAAAUGAUCCUGGUUGUUCCAUUUGUACAGAGGAUACUUCAUUCGAUGAUGCCGGUGGAGCAUAUUGCUCAUACCUCUACUGCUCCUUCCUGUAGUUCAUGGGGUUUGAUGCAAAUUCCUGAUUAAAAUUAGAACUUUAAAAGUUAUUGAAUGCUCGAUUUUGUCAAUUAAAUCGCUUUCCAUUCCAUCCAUACGUAUUUCUCGUUUGAACUUGAUUGACUUCCUAUUGAAUCGGUGGGAUCAUGGUCUGAUUAUUGAAUUUUUGUUGCUUUUGUAAAUGCCAGUAGUUUUGGGUAGGGUAUUUUCCUCCGUAAAAUGUACACUGAACAUCGGUUUGUUUGGGUCAUGGAUAUUUCGUAUCUAAAUGACCUUGUUCGUUACAAUUAUUACACCAUACAUUAGGUCUCGUAUUAGAAGGCUUAUGUCGUUUCUCCUUAUCUUUAGCCAAAUUCACGACCAAUUCUUCCAUCUUCUUUGUUAGAUUUAAUAACAAGGCUUCAUUUGAAAUUUAACAGUUGUAUUUGUGAACAACUCCGGUUAUUGAUAGGUUGGCAAUGUAAAAUAAGGUGUCAUUGUUAUUGGCGCUAUUGCUUGGAUUGGGGUAGUAUUAAUUGGUUUUUGUAACAUAACAUUCUUCAUGUUGGAGGCAACCAUUUGUAGAUAAUUAUCCAUCGACACAUUUCUUAGUUAUAUUUGUUGGCUUCCUGAACUUGGAAUCAUUGUGGCCCCCACUAUUAACAAUUGAUCAUAAUGACAUUCUUCCCACACCUUUGCUCGUGCCAACAAUGCCUCUACCGUAGCUGGUCGAGCCUCUUUUAUAAACAUUUUUAAUUCUGGUGGAUGCAAACCGUUAAUUAAUAUCAACAAUAUAAAAACAUCUGGCAUUUGAUUAUUUGACCAUUUACGAAGUAUAUCCAUGAUCUGCCUAUAAUAGGACUCUACGAAUUCUCCCGCAAACAUCCUGUUAUUCAUAAAAUUUUCUUGAAGUUGAUCUUCAAAUCCAAUUGGUCUAAAAUGGGUUAGAAAGGCGUUCCUCAAGGCCUCUCAAUUGGAAAAUCUAUCCACUGGUUACCGAUUAUACCAUUCAAAAGCUGUAUCUUUUAAAGUUGCUGGCAACCAUCUCAACCAAAUGCCUUCAGUUCUAUCAUUAUUAGUCACGCAGGUUGUCAAGAAUUGAGAUAUAUGGUAAUCAGGAUUAGAGCCCGAUUAACCACUAAAAGUAGAUAAUGGUACCUUACUUGUAGUUUGGUCUCCUACUGCUCCCAUUUGUACUGCAAUUGGUACUUCUUGCACUCCCAUGGCCAUUGGUGUUAUCACUAGUCUCCUUACUAUUUGAAUCUGAAUUUUUCUUCCAUUGGUUUUUUUUGGACCUACAAUUCCUUUUUAUCAUUCCCGUAGGAGAAUUCUUAUGCGUAAUGGCUCUUUUCUUUCUUUUUCUUGUCGAUUAAUUCUUUGAUAAUCUUCUCCCCCAUGAUUAUCACUCAUAAUCUUUCAUUCCUCUUUACAAAAUCAAUACUGCCUUGAAUUAUAACUCACAUAUUUGUGACCCUAAAACUAGUUCUUUUCACAUUCUCAUUCAACAUAUAAUUCCAUCUUCUAUACAAUCAAUUUCUAACAUUUCAUAUUGUUAUUAUUUCCCCGACAGUGGUGCCAAAAUCUUGUUCUCAUUGCGUUCAAGCUUCAAUAGAUCAAAGCAAUUGAAUUAAUAGAGGUGGAUUCGAACACGGGAAAAGAUUGGUUAUAUGAAUUGGGUCUGUUAGUGUCACAAUUGACUAUACUCUAGCUAUCUGAAAACAAUUAUCAAACUACAAAACACCAAAGCUUACUACUUCCAUUUUAAUUCAAUCUAUAAUCCAUUCUACGAUUAUCAAUUCAACAAUACUUCUCUCAAUCACAAUUCUUCAUAAGCAAAUAAUAAAGAAAAUAAAGAGAUAGUACCAAGCUUACCUUGGCUUACGACUCUCAGAGUCUGGCCCUUGGCUUAUGACUCUCACAGUCUGGCUUUCGGCUUACGACUCGUAUAGUCUGGCCCUCAACUUAUGACACUCACAAUCUGGCCCUCGGCAUACGACUCUCACAAUCUGACCCUUAGCUUACGACUCUCACAGUCUAGCCUUCAGCUUACAACUCUCACAAUCUAGCCCUCGACUUAUGACUCUCAAUCUGGCUCUCAGCUUACAACUCUCAGUCUGGCUCUUGGCUUACAACUCUCACAAUCUGGCCCUCGGCUUACAACUCUCAGUCUGGCUCUCAACUUACGACUCUCACAGUCUGGUCCUCGACUUAUGACUCUCAGUCUGGCUCUCGGCUUACCUUUCUUCAACCUAUUUAUCCUAUCAAAAGAUGAUCCGUCGGCCAGCGGAUUCCAAAGAUUAUCACCCUUUGAAUUCUUAACCAUUUAUUGCACUAACAACCUACUGUUACCAACUAAACUGCCUAGCCAUCAGUCUAAUUUUCAAGGUUGUCAAUAACUAAGUAAUAAUUUACCACAAAGUUUAUUUACCUAUUCUACAUUGAUCAAUAUUUGAUUAUGUUUGUUAAUCCUUGAUUAUAAUCUAUAUAUGAUUCUAUUAGAGUUGUUAAGUUUUGUUGUUGUAAUUUUUUUUCACCCUCUACAACGAGGUGUUUGGUAUAUUUUUAAGCAAGAGUUUAUAUAAUAUAAUAUUUUUGUUAUAAAAUAUUAUGAUUAUAUAAUAAAAAAUAAAAAUAUAGAUAUUAUAUAUCACACCUAUAAUAACUUUGAGGUUCUUUUGUCAAUUGAAGAAACGAAUUUGAAAGCAAACUUAAGAAGAGAUUUUUGAGAGUUGAUUUCAUAUCAUUUGGAUUAAUAUUCAUAUUUUGAAGGAUUUUAAAGUCAAUGAUGUAUUUAGUAGAUUUAGAUUUUUUUUAAAAUAAAAAAUAAGUAAAUAAAUUUAAAGAUUUUAUAAAUUUUAUAGCAUAUUUAUAAUUAAAAAUUUAGAAAUUUAUUGUUGUCUUUCUUAUAAAUAAGCAAGAAAAAUUUGAAAUCAAUCAAGUAGUUUGAUUGAAGAGUACAAGAGUUUUAUAGAUUAUAGUCUCAAAAAUUUGGGUUUAUAAGACUACUGAGGACUUCUAAGAUAUCUAAAAAUUUGCCAAUUCGAUUGAAUUAAAAUUUUGCUCAAAAGUACUUAACUUGGCUUUCAAUAGUUGUAUAAACUUUGGUACCAAUUGAAUAAUUAAAUUAAAAUAUUAUGGUUUAUAAAUAUUAACAUCAAUUUUGGAGAAGGAGGCUAGUCGAUAUCCAAGUGGAAUUUAGAACUUAUCAUCUAUUUAGUAUGUCGAAUCUUUUUCAAAUAUUUUGUAUAUAUUUUUAACUUGAUUUUUACAAAAAUUUCAAAUUUUGAGUCAAAAUAAAAAAUUCAAGCAUUAGUUAUUAAAUUUUUAAUCUGCUAUUGGAUUUAUUAAGAGUUUGUUUAAGAUUUAGGAUUUGAUUAAGAAAUGAUUAGGAUUGAUUUAGGAUCCAAGAUUUCUUUAAGAUUUGCUAAAGAUUUGAUUUCAAAUUUGGUUAGGAUUUAGAAUUUGUUUAGGAAUUAACUAAGAUUUGAUUAGUAUUUGAUUAAAAUUUAUCAUUUCAUUAAAAUUUGGUCAAGGACUAAGAUUUAAAAUUUCAUUAGGAUUUGAUUAGAACUUCAAUUAGGAUUUAAUUAGGAUAUGAUUAGAUUUUAUUUGAAUUAAUUUUGAAAUUAUUUCAGAUUUUUAUUUUUAAUAUUUCUUUAGAAUUUAUUAUUAUUUUUUUAAUAUUCUUAUUUAUAGUAUUUCUUUAAGAAUAUUAUUAUUUUCUUAAGAUUUCUAUAUUAUAUUUUUUUUAAAUUAAUUUAUGACUUUUUUAUAUUUCUUUUAUAAAUUCUUUUAAAUUUACUUAGAUAUAUUAAAUUUUGAUUAAGAUUGGUAAGGAUUACUUAAAUUUUAUUUACGACAUCUAUUAGACUUAGUAGUAUUGUUAUUUGAUUUCUACUUAUCUUCUAUAGCUAGGUGCUCUAUACAUUUUUAAGUAAGAAUACACGUAAUACAAUACCAUGUCAAUUUGCAUAAGCUUAAGCCUAGAUGAAUAAUCUUCUAAAAGCUUAGAAGGUGUUGU
rnacentral:lncRNA from 1 species